rnacentral:snoRNA from 1 species
AUGCAUCUAUUUGACAGGUCUGGAAUAUUUACUGUCUGCCACUUGGGUUCCAGUGCAAGAAAAAAGGUCCUCGCUCAUGCUUUCUGUCUGUCUGAUUGUGGCAGCCAAGAUUGAGUGGGGGAAUAAAAAA